AACAACAUAAGAUAUCAUGUGUAGUUGGAUA
rnacentral:guide_RNA from 1 species